AAGAAGCUUGGUUAGUUUUUUGGAGUCAAAUAUGACUAGAUGUCAUGUGUAUGAUUGAGUAUAAGAACUAGAACCGCAACCGUUUCCCAAAACC
rnacentral:sRNA from 1 species